rnacentral:rRNA from 1 species
CGUGUAGGCGGAAAUGUAAGUCAGAUGUGAAAUCCCGGAGCUCAACUCCGGAACAGCAUUUGAAACUGCAUUUCUAGAGGGUAGGCGGAGAAAACGGAAUUCCACAAGUAGCGGUGAAAUGCGUAGAUAUGCGGAAGAACACCAGUGGCGAAGGCGGUUUUCUAGCUUAUACCUGACGCUGAGGCGCGAAAGCAAGGGGGAGCAAACA